AAUAAAUAACAUAGUUUAGAUAGUUUAAGAAAUAAUUGGUUGUCGUUUUUUUUUUUAGGGAGGACACUGCAGCGUAUACAUAUAUAUGAUUGAAAACACUAUCACUCUUCAUGUCUGUAUCAGAAUAAAAACAAAAAUACUUAAUGCAUGAUGAAUUGUUUUGUUUAAGGUGAAGACACCUCUGCGGAACAGACUGAAGGAGAGGCACUUGGAUGUCUGUUGUAAGGUGGCCGUUGAUGGACCAGACCAGGAGGCCUUGGACUACAAGGAGUGCAUGAGGAGGUUCUACAGAAUGAAAAAGAGGAGGCUGAAAUGUUCUGUCUGGUUGCGAGAUGUGUGGAUGAAGUG